rnacentral:rRNA from 1 species
GACGAACGCUGGCGGCGUGCUUAACACAUGCAAGUCGAACGGAAAGGCCCCUUCGGGGGUCCUCGAGUGGCGAACAGGUGAGUAACACGUGAGUAACCUGCCCUUGACUUCGGGAUAACUUCAGGAAACUGGGGCUAAUACCGGAUAGGAAUCCUUGCUGCAUGGUGGGGGUUGGAAAGCUUCGGCGGUUUUGGAUGGACUCGCGGCUUAUCAGCUUGUUGGUGGGGUAGUGGCUUACCAAGGCUUUGACGGGUAGCCGGCCUGAGAGGGCGACCGGCCACAUUGGGACUGAGAUACGGCCCAGACUCCUACGGGAGGCAGCAGUGGGGAAUAUUGCACAAGGGGCGGAAGCCUGAUGCAGCAACGCCGCGUGCGGGAUGACGGCCUUCGGGUUGUAAACCGCUUUCAGCAGGGGCGAAGCUUGUGGUGACGGUACCUGCAGAAGAAGCACCGGCUAACUACGUG